UACGAAGGGGGCUAGCGUUGCUCGGAAUCACUGGGCGUAAAGCGCACGUAGGCGGACUCUUAAGUCGGUGGUGAAAUCCUGGAGCUCAACUCCAGAACUGCCUUCGAUACUGAGAGUCUCGAGUCCGAGAGAGGUGAGUGGAACUGCGAGUGUAGAGGUGAAAUUCGUAGAUAUUCGCAAGAACACCAGUGGCGAAGGCGGCUCACUGGCUCGGUACUGACGCUGAGGUGCGGAAGCGUGGGGAGCAAACAGG
rnacentral:rRNA from 1 species